rfam:Pan troglodytes isolate Yerkes chimp pedigree #C0471 (Clint) chromosome 7, whole genome shotgun sequence.
AAACAGGUUUUCUUAAAAACCAAUCAUUAAUAACUAGAAUAUAGAG